ensembl:lncRNA
CACUGGGGCUCCGGGCGGCUGGGACCGGCCUGGGGUAGCUGCGCAGCAGGUGGGUCGGUCCCGGGGCCGCAGCGCGGGGGUCAGGGAACGACCCCGUCGGGGCAGACGGCAGGUCUGUGGGUUCUGGCACCAUCUGAGCCCCCUGGCAAUCCCUGGCACCUCUGCUUUGGAGCCACCUUGUCCCUGCUGGUGGAAAGAGAUUCACAAGGAAGCGGCCUCCCAGAAGGCGGGAGGCGGCAGGAGACCGCUGGGUGCGCCUGCGAGGAGGCAGCCCCCGCUGGUGGUGCCUGAGCUGCCUGCGGAGGCGCCCCCAGGGGACGCCCCUGCCGAUCCCCCCGUCGGGCACCACUGAGGAGGAGGAAGAGCAGCCUGGGAAGGCCCCGGACCCGCAGGACCCCAGGACCCCCAGGACCCCCAGGACACGGAGUCUGGCUCUGCCUCCGACUCGCAGAGGCAGCGCAUCAUCAAGCAGCCUGCCCCGGACACGGACACGGGCGCGGCGAGGCUGGGAACCAAGAGGCCGCACCCUGAGGAUGGCGAUGAGCAGAGCCUCGAGGGCGCCUCCGGCGACGGGCAGAGCCUCGAGGCGCCUCCGCGACGGCAGAGCUCGAGGGAGAGCUCGAGCCCGGCGACGGGCAGAGCCUCGAGGGCGCCUCCGGUGACGGGCAGAGCCUCGAGGGCGUCUCCGGUGACGGGCAGAGCCUCGAGGGUGUCUCCGGUGAUGGGCAGAGCCUCGAGGGUUCUGGCCGCCACAGCGCAGGGCUCGGCGGGCAGGGCCCCGGGGCUGACGAGCUGGGCUUGUCCCGCUUGAAGCCCUACGCCUACGGCGAGUGCGGGGAGGCCUUCGCGUGGCUUUCGCACCUCAUGGAGCACCACAGCAGCCAUGGCGGCCGGAAGCGCUACGCCUGUCAAGGCUGCUGGAAGACCUUCCACUUCAGCCUGGCCCUAGCCGAGCACCAGAAGACCCACGAGAAGGAGAAAGGCUACGCGCUGGGGAUCGCCCGGGGCCCCCAACCGUCCACCCCGAAGCCCAGGCAGGGGCUGGGGCGGCGGGCCCCGGAGAGCGUGGAGGGCGAGGCUCUCCCCGCACCCCCAGAGGCGCGAGAGGUGAGCCCCUGUGCUGUCCCGGAGGGGCCGCCCUGCCGGCCGUGAAUCCCAGACGAAGCAUCGGGCCCUUCCACGCCCCUGGUGGCGGCUUCCUGUGGUGUCUGUGGACGUCAUCUGCCUGUGCCCCGAAUCCGCCCCUGAGGCUAAGCGCUCCCAACGAGAAGGGUCCACGGGAAGCCCUCACCUCUGUAAACACACCCUGGGCCAGCGCUCACAUCCGAGGGGAGCCGCCGGAUGUGGAAGAAGACUCCGCUUUCCUGCAGCCAUUUAGUGCCGCCCCACGCUAGGUUAUUUGACAUUGUGCAGUGUAGAGUUGCCUUAAAGUGCGUGAUCUGCCAGUGCUUUCUUCAAGUCGCCCUUGCCCCGAUUCCUCCUGUUUGCGCUCCCCAGGGUUGCUCAAGUGGAAAUUUUGUCAAUUGUUUAGCCUUUUCGUACUUGCGUGAUGUCAACUUCACUUCUAAUCUGCAAAAGCAGAAGUUGUUUCCUAGUUUACCUCACGUGUCUUUACCUGUAUGGAGUAGCUCGCAGAGAUCACAGAAAUGCUUGCAGCAUAAGGCAGGGUUUUCAGACCGUGGGUCCCAGCCCAUUAGUUAAAAUGGGAAAUCAAUUAGCAAGUGGCCACCAGCAUUACACAGCAAUGAAUCAGAAUAAAGUAGGCCAGAAUGCAUCAUGUAGUAAAGGCAAAUACUGUUUUGUGAAACUUUUCACCCAUACAUCUAAAUGUGAGAACUGGUUGCAAUGUAAGAGAUGUAUUUCUUGCUGGGAAGUUGUGAUCAAAAUAAGUUGAAAACGCCAAUAAAGAUCUGUCUGUCUGAGCAAA